UUUUGUUUGUUUUCCUCUGAA
ensembl:piRNA 21ur-6249 ncRNA